rnacentral:rRNA from 1 species
UACGAAGGGGGCUAGCGUUGUUCGGAAUUACUGGGCGUAAAGCGCACGUAGGCGGAUAUUUAAGUCAGGGGUGAAAUCCCAGAGCUCAACUCUGGAACUGCAUUUGAUACGUGGUGGCUUGAGUGCGGAAGAGGGUCGUGGAAUUCCCAGUGUAGCGGUGAAAUGCGUAGAUAUUGGGAGGAACACCAGUGGCGAAGGCGGCUCACUGGACCGGUACUGACGCUGAUGCGCGAAAGCGUGGGGAGCAAACGGGG